CAGGAUGAUGGCUGCAAGACCCUGUUCUUAGCAACCAUGAAAUUAUUACUGUGAAGCUUCAAGAACAACUUUGAUAGGGUAGAGAUUCAGACUACAUGCAACUAGUAACUGACACAUAUACAUUUACUGCACCAAAUCUGAUACUGCAAAAACAUUACCAAGCUGAGAUGUUUCCUAUUGACCUUCUCAACUAUUUUGGCAUAGGAGCUAUUGCUACUUCCCUUCCAGAGAUAAGAAGAAAACUUUAUGCAUCUGAUGAAACAAUUAAAAACUUGUGGACAACAUUGAAAAGGUUCCUGAAUAAUAUUACAGAUUUUCUUGAAGUUGAACACCAUCUCCCAGAAUUGCUUUACUUGAGAACACUCUCACCCCAGGUGGUAAUAUGUACCUGUAGCACCACAUCCACACCAACAGGUUGGUGCUGUGUUAGUUGUCGUACGUGAUAGUUGUACUGGAAUUCUGUAUCAUCUAUGACUAAUUUUCCCUUAUGUAGGCUGGUACUGACUUCAUUGGCCUAGAACACUACAGAUUUAUCCAUUUCACUUUGUCUGUUUGUUCACCCAUAUCUGUCUCCCAGAUCAUUUUCAAUCCUGUAAGGGAGCCUGUUGUAAUUUCUUUAAGAUCUUAUAAACACUUGAGAUCAUUUUGUUUUAUUGAUGCCAGACACUGUUGUAUCAGAGCAACAGUGAUUUGCAGCAUAGU